AAUUCUCCCAGGCCCAGGACUGGGGACUGCCCCAUUUCCAGGCACCUGAGAGUUUCUCAGUCAGGUCUCUGCAUUUAGAGUUCCUACAAUUCCCAGGAUUCCCCAGAGCAUCUUUCUCCCAGGUGAGACGGCUACUGCAUCCAGGUGCCUUCUAUGGCCCAGGAAAAAAGCAGUUCCAAAAUCUGAGCUCCCUGGAAACAGGCACCUUUCUUGACAGGAGGAUGGUCUGGCUUUGACUCAGAAACAUUCCCUCCCUCCCACCCACUCUGGAAUCUAUCAGAUUGGAGGAGGUGAAGGAAUUGAACCAAUCCCCAGCUCAGUCUCUCUCUCUCUCUCUUUUUUUGAAACCUCGCUGGCAUAUUUCCUGCAUGAGCUGACUGUCACGUGCUGGGCAGAUUCUCUCCAUAUCAUAACUUAUUGCUCUUGUCUUUCAGAAUAAAAGACUGACUCAGGCAGCCCAAGCUUCCACAAACUACUUAGAAAGGAAUGAAAGUGAUCCUUAAAACUCGACAGUUGGAAAGACAUUCCCUGUGGGGAAGAGGCACUAGCUAGGGAAUCAAAAGACCGGAGAUUCAAUCUUGGCUCUGUUGCUCACAAGCAAUGCGACCUUGGAGACUGCUGCUGCUGCUCCUGGGACUCCACUUUGAGAAACACCACAUUAGAUCCUCUCUAAAUCCUUGCUGCUCAAUAUGUUGUGCCCAGAGCAGCAGCAUCUGGAAGCUUGUUAGAAACAUAAAAUCUUGGGGCCUACCCAGUCCUACUAAAUUUGAAUCUGCAUAAAAAUAAGAUUCCUAGGUGAUUCUUUUGCAUAUUAAAAUUUGAGAAGCAUGGCUCUAAAUUCACUUUAUGAUUUUAUAGAAAAGAUAAAUAUUCUGUCUCUUCUUCUUUCCACACACACAUGCACCCACCCACCCACCCACCCACCUAUAUAUAGACACAGAGAAAAAUCUAUCUCGUCUUAAUUUGCAAGGCAGAUUGUGGUUUUCCUAAUGCUUUCAAACUCUGCAUACAUAUAUGUGUAUGUAACCACUUAAUAGAGAAUAUAGCUUGAUGUAUGAGUUCUUAUGCAAAGGAUCAGAGGAGCAGGAUUAGGUUCUUAGCAAUCAAAGAAAUCUUGGUGGCCUGGUCUAGCAUCUACAAAUGGAAAACUCAAAGUUGGAUGGAGGAAGGGACUAUACGCAGUAGAGUCUUAUUUCAGUCCUUAUAAUAUGCAAAGUUGCCAACGCCCGAAGGCUUUCAGAAGGACACCCUGGACUUUCUAUUGUGUAUUUUUGGAGGUAAAAUAUGAAUAACUUUAGGUUGUGGGCAUAACAGAAAUAACCUAAACCAGCAAUUAAAGGCACAAUACCACCAUAGACUUGGGUGGGCUAGAGGCAGAUUCCUGGUUAUCUGCUUGGGGUGGAAGCCAUUAAAAAAAAAUAGCAUCCAAGGUAAAACUAUAAUGUUUCCAGUUUUCAAGACAAACUUACUCCUACACUCUUGUUAUAGAUUGUUGUUUAGGUUAUUCAAAUUUAGAAUGGUAAGAUUUUAUGAUGGCAGUUUAUGAAGAGCCUGUACAAUUUUACACACACACACACACACACACACACACACACACACACACUGUCUCUCUCUCUCUCUCUCUCUCUGUUAAAUAAAUUAUGUGAUCCUCCUUUGCUUCAUGGGUCAUGAUUUUCUCUCCCCCACAGCAUUCUGAUUUACACUCUCUCUAGAAUACAGUAGGGCCUCCUGUGGAGGAAGACAGCAGAUAACAGCCCAUCUCAGUGGGUCAUGCCUGUAAUCCCAGCACUUUGGGAGGCCUCAGCCAGUGGAUCACUUGCGUUCAGGAGUUCGAGACCAGCCUGGGCAACACAGCAAGACCCCAUCUUUUAAAGAUAAAAAAAAUUGGUUGACCAUGGUGGCUGUGAACCUGUAGUCCCAGGGAGGCUGAGGCGGGAGGAUGGCUUGAGCCCAGGGCAGUGAGCCGUGAUUGCUGCCACUGCACUCCAGCCUAGGUAACACAGUGAGACCCUGUCUCAAUGAAAGAAAAGAAAAAAAAGAUUAGAUAAGAGCAUCUUUGCUCAUUACGCAAACCUAGGAGUGACUGUUUUAUAGGUAGAAGAUGCUGUGUGAGGCUAAGGUGAG
rnacentral:lncRNA from 1 species